CUUCAACGGCGGGUGCUUCGCACUCGCCAAAAAUGGAGAGUGAGCCUUGUUUCAUUCAAGCUCUCCCAUACUGGUGACUAAAUGACUUCCAUUCAAAUUAUCGUUCGAAUUCGUGGAAUCAGAUCGGUAUGCAUCCAUUUUCCUACCAUAUUUACCUGAAGGCGGCUUAUUAAGGGAAAGAGCAGUAGCUCUGGGAAAGAAUUCUUUUUGAGGGAAAGAGUGGGUGAGAGAUCUGUGGACGUAGACUCGACCUUCAUUCAUAUAUAUCUCGACAUGGCUUCGAAACUGUUGUUGAUUAUGGACUUCAUUUUCGAUCUCAUUGCCUUCGCUUUGGCUGUUGCAGCUGAGCAGAGAAGAAGCACUAUUGAUUAUCGCCGGAUACACCCAAUGAAAAUUUAGAAACCGAAAAUGAGGGGUCAUUGUUAUUGCCGGGGGAAUUAGAAAUGGAAUUGGAGCGGGUGGGAUUGGGGUUGGGAUCAGAGUCGGAGUUGGAAGCAGAACAGGAACAAGAAGAAGAAGCAAUGCGAUUAAGGGACUCGUAGAAAUGCUCUUCUUCUUCUUGGGAUGCGUCCUUAUGGCAGUUGCAGUUGUUUCUGCUUAUCUCUGGGCGGUCACUUUGAAACCUUUAGCUAGAGGGGCAUUUGGCAUCCACUAGAUCAGAGGAAAUAGAAAUGGAGAUGAGGGGAAGAGAGAAAGAGAGCAAGAUGACAAAAAAAAAAAAAGGAAAUGGAUUUUUGAA